ACAAAAGAACAUAGAUCUCAUGUUUUUGGUUUCUUUUUUAAAAUAUAGAGCAUGGCUUUACUGUGUGUCAGUGGUACAUGCCUGUAAUCCCAGCACUCAGGACUUGGGAGGCAGGCAGUAAGGUCAUUCACUUGAGGCUACCGUGGGCUACAACAUCUGUUCCACAUCAGCGUCAGCUACAGAGCAAGAGUGUCUCAAAAAGCCAAGGGCUGGAGCUAUAGCUCGGCAGGGUUGCGGUUACCACUCACACACACAAGGGCCUUGGGUCGAGCCCCAGCCCAGCAAAAUAACUCCGCCUGCUGCAUUGUCCCCUCAGCUGGAAUAUUGCAGAAGCCACGACGAGUCUGUCUAGGGGCCUUUCAGCUGGGACAAGCAAUGCCUACCCACCCUUUCCCAGUAACACACCCUCUUAUCUGCCCUCCAUUCAGGGUUUGCCAGCGCCUCUACUGUGUAAUUAGUUUCUUCCUUUGAACUGAGAAGCAGUCUUUGGAUACUUUUAAGACUGCAACAGUAUCUUAUCCAUCAACGUUCCCCCUUAGACAAAGUGUCAGUAACCAUCAGCCGUGGCCCCUGCCUGGCUCUGUCUUGACUCCGCCGCUCCACCUGUCUCAGCGUUCUGCAAGCAGGCGCUCUCCACACCUCCUCUCAUCUAUUGCUUGACUAUCGCCCCUGAGAACUCUCCUGAGCCGCCGGGAUGCUGUUGAACAGAAAAGAACUAGGAAUAAACAUGCCAAGGGCUUGGCCUGGGGAUGCUUUCAUUGUGCCAAGAUCUCCAGUUUCAUAAUUUUUUUUGAAACAUGCUCUGACCUGUAUAAUUUGAUCUUGCUCACAUCUAAAUGCUAAUAAAACAACUGAAAUAUUUA